AAACCAAAGUACAAUAUUGUAGUUGUACUAUUCUCCCUUCCUUGUCAUCCCACGAACUUCACUUAAAACCCAACUCCGUUUCGCAACACUAACCCAACACCUUCAUCACAACCGUCCAUCUCUAUCAAGACCACGAACACGCAUACACCGUGCGCUUCCUCAAUCUUUCUCCUCCAACUUCUUCUUCUUCCUCCUAAUUUCGCUUUUUCUCUCUAAGCCCUUUCCUCUUCCCUUCCUCAAACCUCUCAACCUCACAAGAUCGAACAACGCAACAAUAAUGGUCGAAUCCUCUCCGACCUAAACCCUCACAUAAGGUCUUUCUUCUUCUUCUCUUUCCCUUUUCAUCUUUUCUAUUUUCUUCAUCGUGAAACCCUUAAUCUGUAAGCAUUAACCUAGCACUGUUCACGAAUUAUCUUCAGCUGAAGUUCAAUUCUAGUAAUUCAUCACCGAUUAUACGGUCAACCUUCUUCACUGGAUCUAGGAUUGUUCGUAUUUUCUACUAAAUUAGGGUUUUUAUUUUCCCCAAUUUUCGUCAAUUUUUGUCAAUUUUGUCAGUUUUAAUAGAUAUAUCACUUUUUCUAACUUGGGUUUCUUCGAUUUGUAUUAAAGUUUUGAUUUUUAGGUUUCAUUGUUUUUGUUGUUGUUGCUGUAAUAUUAGCUGCUUGAUAUUCGUAAUCAAAGCAAGCUUGAAGAUCUGUGAUGGGGGAGGAAAGUUCUGAUGCAAUGAACCUUGAUUUGAAUCUGGGUCCAGACCCAGAACCAGUUACUGGGUCAAUUACCAAUGAGGGUUUGAACUUGGAUGAUUGGAUUGAGGAGCCUCUUCAGCGAAUUAGUGAAGCUGCUGCGAGGCUUAGGGGGAGACAGAGGUGGAGAUGGAGGCAGCUUCCGAUUUCUCCACCUUAUCCUCAACAAGUUCAUCGCGUUCUACCUCAUAGUUCUUAUGCUCAAGUUCAUCAGAUUAUACCUGAAACUGCGCAUCAUAUUUAUAUCCCGCCUGAAGCUCGCAAUAUCUCUAUUGAGUUGAACAAUUUUUUGGUGAACUCGAGUAAUGGAGCGGGGUUACAGGCUGGGGAAGGAAGUGUGGCGGCUGUGGAGAGAAUGGAGGAAGUGGAGGAGCCGUUGAAAGCGUGUGAGAGCAACAAUGGUGUUAUGGAGGAUGAGAUGUUGCAGAAGAAGGAUGAUGUUGAAAAGACUGGUGGCUGUGAUGGGGACUUUUUUGAUUGUAAUAUCUGUUUGGACUUGGCCAAGGAGCCUGUUUUGACCUGUUGCGGUCAUCUGUUUUGUUGGCAGUGCCUAUAUCGUUGGCUGCAUCUGCAUUCAGAUGCUAAGGAGUGUCCAGUUUGCAAGGGUGAGGUGACAAUUAAGAGUGUUACUCCCAUAUAUGGUCGUGGGAACAAUGCUCGUGUUCUUGAGGAGGAUUCCACUCUUAAAAUUCCUCCUAGGCCACAAGCAAAGCGUGUUGAAAGUCUGAGACAAACCAUUAUGAGAAACGCAUCUGCACUCCCUGUAGAGGAGAUGAUUCGGCGUCUUGGAAACAGAAUUGAUCUCACUCGGGAUCUAGUUCAGCCAAAUGAAACAGAAAAUGCCCGUGGAACAGUAGAGAGAACUACCUCCUUACUAAGUAGGUUUUUGACAUCUCGAGGCAUGAGGAGAGAGCAGAUGCCUGUGGCACCACCGGAAGAUGUUGCAGGUUUGAAUCAGAAUAACAUUAAUGGUGCUGACUUAGGAGGGGAUAACCGCAGGGUGCAAUCUCUUUUGCUUCGAAGAUCACAAUCACAUAGAGCAACACUUUCUAGUCUUUCAUCAGCAUUGACUUCUGCUGAAAGGUUAGUUGAGGCAUAUUUCCGUAGCAACCCAUUAGGCAGAAACCAAGAACAACCACCUACUUCAGUUGAUGACAGGGAUUCCUUUUCAAGCAUUGCCGCAGUCAUAAAUUCGGAGAGUCAAGUGGACACUGCUGUAGAAAUUGAUUCCAUGGUAACCUCUUCUAGGAGGAGAGCUGAUGCUUCAAGAUUGUCUGAUGUGGACAGUGGAGAUUCUCGGGCUCCAAGGCGCAGACGUCUGAACUAAUAAAAGUAUUCUAGCUCAAGUUAUUACUAUUCUAUCAUAUCAUGUAACACAUCAUAAUAAUUUUCCAACAUCUAUAGAUAUUUUCAUGGGGAAAGGUCGAUGGCAAUUCAGUCUCGAUGUUUUUCUUGUCAACAAUGUGGUCCAAGUUGUGCUUUCCGCGAAGUUGUUGUAGACAGUUAAUUGUAAUAGAUAAACUAAUAAGCCUAGUAGUUGCUCUUCUGUUUAGGAGUCCAAAAACAGUUAUGUGAAUGUUUCGGUGUCUAAAUUCUGCUAAUUCUGCAUUUAUUAACAAGAUAUGAGUUUGACCCACCUUA